UCUGUAAGACCCUCACCAGUGUCAGUUACUCACAGUCACUCACAGAGAUGGAGAGGUCAAGACUUGCUCUCGUCACACUCAUGUGUGUUUUGUUCUUCAGUCAGAACAGAAUCUAUGGAGCAGAAGUGGAGAUGAAAGUCAGACCUGGAGACAACAUCACUCUCUACUGUGAUCGCUCUUUAACUCUUGGUUUCCUCUUUGUAUGGAUAAGAAACUGCUCUCAUGAAAAUCAACCCUCUCUCGAAAUGGAUCAUACAAAACGGCUCCAGAACACAUUUCAGCGUUUCAGCUCUGUCUACAACCGCUCCAGUAAUUCUUAUGAUCUACAUAUUACUAACAUCAGUGUCUCUGAUCUGGGACUGUAUUACUGUGCAGAAGUAGAGAAUAAGGUACAUAAGGAUGAAAAAGGCAUCAUCUACUCAACUAAAGUGUACUAUUAUGGAAACCGAACAACUCAUCUCUCUCUUGCAGAGCAAAUAAGUUCUGGACCCUUGAACAUUACCUCCACUCCUCGUGUAUCAGACUGUGUUCUCUGCUGGACGCUGCUGUUCAGUGUGUGUCCGGUGUGUGUUCUCCUCUCCUCACUCCUGUCCUCCAUCUGUGUGUACUGCCUCUGUCAGAGGAAAACUGCAGAUUCUGAGCAGAAUGCAGAGAUACUCACUGCAAAUGUUAUUAAGGGGGAUCCUACAGAGAAACAUCAGUGUGAGAUGAGUAAAACUGGAAAGAUCUGCCUCCACACUGAAGUCUGUUAUAGACUGCUGACAUCUUCAUAUCCCUAUGCCAAGAUGUGAUUCUACUGCUCAGUUUAAACAACUUACUGAAAAUUUGCUGCUUUUUAUUGCUCUCUUUUUGUACUCAGCAACGUCAACUAUGAUUUCUGAACGCUUUCGCCACAUUUAGUUCACAUGCACAAACAAACUUGCAGCACAUUUUUCUUUAUAAUUGUAUUUACAUAUACAGUUAUGCAUGAUACACAAAUAUAAAAUAUUUCAUAUUUUCAAAUAAAAUACUAACGAAAUAAAAAAAAACAAAGUAACAUUUUAUUUGCACAUUUUCUGGUUGCAAAUUAUAUUUUCGUAAUGAAAUAACAUUGUUUUUUAAAAACAACAUUAAUUUGAAAUCUUUUAUUGGAUUAAACAAAAUAAACAAAAACAAUAAUAACUAAUUACAAAUAAUAACUGUUUAUUAGCCAGUUUGUUUUUUUGUCAAUAUGUCCUUCUGUGGUAUAAAAGCUAAAUUUAGACUGAUCAGUAAAACAUUUAAAGUGAGUGACAACAACUUAAAUGCAGAUCUGUUUUCCUUUUCAGUCCAGAAUCAUAAUUACUUUCUUUGUCUUAAAAGGGACGAGAAAAAUAAGAUUAAACUUUACAUUCUCUGUUCUCACACCUAUCAACAGGAUGUUGGGUUUCCUGUGUACGUUAUACCGCUCAUUCUUUCUUUUUUCUUUUUCUCUCUUCUUGUGUGCAGCUAUAAGUACCAACUACAAAUGUUUCCACUGGACUCUAUCAACAGAAAUGCACAAAUUGACAGAACCACAAAUAGUUUUCAGUAGAAUUAAAAUAUGAUCUAUUCCAUGUGCAUAAAGCUAAUGCACACAUGUAAUAAAGUAUAAAACAAAAAUAAACAGUAUUUUUUGGACCAAAUAAGUUUUGUUGCAUUACAACAAUCAAAUAAAUAAAAAAUAAAUAAAAAUGAGUGAAGAGAUAGUUGCUGUUGUCGUGACAGCUGUUUAUUUUACAAUUUAUUAUUUCAUAUUUUUAUUUAUAAUUUCAUGUUUCACUUCAUAAUUUGAACAGAUUUCAUAGCAUUAAUCCAGUUUAUAUUUCUGUGCAGCAUUAAACAAAGACAUCAUUUCGUAUUGAUUAAUUUAAAAACAGUCAAUUGGAUAAGAAAUAAUUAUAAAAGGAAAGCAAAACUCAAUGUCUCCAUCUAGUGGCUAAUACUCUGAACCUUUCAGGUGCAGUCAAUCAUUUCUCAUUACAGUUUUUCUCAAUCACUUUGGCUCAAUUCUUAAUUGAGACUUCUUUUUUUUUUUUUUUCUCUCCAAACAAUAAGUUUAGAUGUCUGAACAAUUAGUUUCUUGUUCACAUCAGAUUUGGAUUUCUUAUUGAUUUAAGCAAAAGUACAAUUGUCUACAAUUUGCACAGUAUCUAAAUGCACAUGGCUGGUCUAGACUGAUGAGUUGAUUCUCAGUGAAAUGGUUAAAUUCUUCACAACUUCUAAACAUUCUUUCAUUAUGUGAGCCUUCACAUGCAAAAUGAUCCAUUCAGUUUUCAAAAUCUGUCAGAUAGGCCUGGAAGGUCUGCUAAAUUAGCCUGCCAUUGUAAUGAAAUAGGAAUCACAAUCUUACUAAUAAACCGAUCAAGUUUGGAAUCAUAUGGAGUUUGCCCAGCACAAUCACUACCAUUUUUGAACAUGGAGGAAUGUCACAACCCUAAAAAGCAGUAGCUAUAGCAGUAUGUAUUCAUAAAGUACAUGUAUUUUCAACAUGUUACAUGUAAACUGAAAAUUCACAGUUUCUUAUUCAUUUUAUCUAUCUUACUAUUGCUCUUUCACAACAAGCAACUGAAUUUUCAGUUGAUAUGUAACACAUUUCUACAAAAAUAAACUGCUGUUGCUCUUUAGGGAUUUAGACGUUCCUCCAUGUUGUGCUGGUCAAACUCCUUAUAUAUCCGACUGUAUGCUUCAGAACUUGAUUGGUUGAUUGGUAAGAUUGUUAUUCUAUUGCAUUAUAAUCGCAGGCCUUUUGCCAAUUCAGCAGACAUUACACACAUUCCAUGUCAUAGGUAUUUAUGGAAUAUUGAUAACUGAAUGAAUCAUUUUGCAUGCGAAGGCUCACACGAUGAAAGAAUGUUUAGAAGUUGUGAAGAGUUUAACAGUUUCACUGAGAAUCAACACGUCAGUUUUGAUCGACAAGCCAUGUGCAUUUAAAUAUUGUGCAAAUUGUAGACAAUUGUACUUAUUCUUUUGCACACGUGCCAAACCACAUGCAAAUUGCUUAAAUCAAUAAGAAUUCCAAGUCUGACCCCCUGCCCCUUUGAUCGCGAAAGUGAAAGUGCCCUUUGCGGACGCAUCGCGGUGCCCCCGUGUUCCCAUUUCCCCUCCCGCGGAACGCGAUUUCUACCGCGGGAGGACAAUCGACAUCGCCUACCUGUUCAUAGUAAACAGCGCUAUUUGUUUUGUUGUUAAUGACCGAAAAACGACUUCAGAUGAUUCAGUGACAGAGCGGUCCGAACGAAUUCAAAUCGUUUCAGAUCGUUAUGCAAGCGCGUUUGGCCAAUUCACGGAAAAGAAAGAAUCGAGACAAAAGAAUGAUUAAUUCAUGAAUGAUAGGUAUCGCUGGUUCAGUCGACAGAAAUACGGAACACACAUAAUAACUGCUGAAAUAUUCGCACGGAAAACGUUUCUCAGGUCAGUCGGAGGAGCGGGCAUGCUGCAUGGUACGAACAGUGCGUAUAUAGCCGUACAGCUGCAGGCGCCACUGCGGCCACCUAUCUAACCAAAUUUAGUCGCACCGCCAGGAAAAGAGGAGGAGCGAGAUUGGUGUGCCGCGGGCCGGAUGGAGAUGAUUGGAGGGCCAGAUUUGGCAGUUGACGAGCCCUGGUUUAAGGUAUUUGAGAAUUUCUUACUUCAACCUGUUAUAUUUUUCAUUCACAAAAUUAAAAGAAUAUUAAUAAUCUCAUUGUAUUUCAUUGUCCUUAAACAGAUCAUAAAACUCCAAUAACCCAAGGUCUAUGAUUUUUUUUUUUUUUUUUUUUGGCAAUAACAAAGAACUGAUUAAAAUAUGCCAAAACCCCCCAAAGGAUCUUCAUAAAACCUACAGGAGUUUUCAACCUCUUGCACUGUCAGAAACACAUAUUUGAUCUUAAAAGGUUCAGUUAACCUCUUUUAAAACUGCAUGGAGGAAUGUUGCUAUGCUUAAUGGUUGUAAUUAUUACAAAACAACUUAAAAGAUACAGCGUGUAAUCCUAAGGGAAGGCUUGGUGGUAGGUUAAAAACACUUCAUUUGGAUGUUUAUGCUUGUAUUUAAUUUAGAGGCAGUGUUUUUCUCUGACUCCACCACCAGAUCCCCCACUCCUGUAUCAUACUAUGUUCUCUGCUGGACGCUGCUGUUCAGUGUGUGUCCGGUGUGUGUUCUCCUCUCCUCACUCCUGUCCUCCAUCUGUGUGUACUGUGUCUGUCGGCCUCACAAUUACAAUCAUUGUGAAAAAACAUCCAGUUUAAUAACUGAAUGAUUAAAAUAAGGAGUAAUAAAGUUACAAAAAAUAUACCAAAGGGCAUAAUAUUAAACUGUUUAUUUGUUAUGAAUUUGUGAAAGUGCUGCAAUGUCUGUUUAAAAGCACAAGAAUACAAAGCAAAUGUAUGUUUAAAGUGUUUGUAUUUUAUCUACAUGACAGACUAUGCCAUCAUUUUGACAUUUUUCAGACUUUUCAUGUUUUUUAGGCUCCGAACUGAGUGCUGAGAUACUCAAAGCUAAUGUUCUUCAGGCAGAUUCUCUGGAGAAACAUCAGUGUGAGACGAGUAAAACUGGAAAGAUCUGCCUCCACACUGAAGUCUCUUAUAGACUGCUGACAUCUGAACAUCCCUAUGCCAAGAUGUGAUUCUUUCUGCUCAUUCAAACACUCUCAGCUGUUGCUUGUAGGCCUGUAUAGCUGCUUACGGCAUGCUUUUUGUACAUGCUUUUUGCACUAAUCACAAUAAAGCAUAGUUCAAGCAUGCUUUCAA